rnacentral:rRNA from 1 species
GUGUCAGCCGCCGCGGUAAUACGGAGGGUACAAACGUUGUUCGGAAUCACUGGGCAUAAAGAGCACGUAGGCGGCUUACUCAGUCGGGUGUGAAAGCCCUCGGCUCAACCGAGGAAUUGCAUCCGAUACUGGUAAGCUUGAGGAUGGCAGGGGUGAGUGGAACUCCAGGUGGAACGGUGAAAUGUGUAGAUAUCUGGAGGAACACCGGUGGCGAAAGCGGCUCACUGGGCCAUCUCUGACGCUGAGGUGCGAAAGCUAGGGUAGCAAACGGGAUUAGAUACCCCGGUAGUCCUAGCCGUAAACGAUGGGCACUAGGCAGUGGAUUUGCCUGUGAAUUUCACUGCCGUAGCUAAUGUGUUAAGUGCCCCGCCUGGGGAGUACGCUCGCAAGGGUAAAACUCAAAGGAAUUGACGGGGGAUCACACAAGCGGUGGAGCAUGUGGUUUAAUUCGAAGCAACGCGAAGAACCUUACCUGGCCUUGACAUGCAUGGAUUAGCUCUGUGAAAGCAGAGUGACAGCUCUUCGGAGUCGGAACAUGUGCAGGUGUUGCAUGGCUGUCGUCAGUUCGUGUCGUGAGAUGUUGGGUUAAGUCCCGUAACGAGCGAAACCCUUGUCGUUAGUUGCCAGCGGGUAAUGCCGGGGACUCUAGCGAGACUGCCGUUGUCAAAACGGAGGAAGGUGGGGACGACGUCAAGUCAUCAUGGCCCUUAUGGCCAGGGCGACACACGUGCUACAAUGGUCUAUACAAAGGGUUCCGAGACCGCGAGGUUUAGGCAAUCCCAUAAAGUAGGCCCCAGUUCGGAUUGCAGGCUGCAAUUCGCCUGCAUGAAGCCGGAAUCGCUAGUAAUCGCGUAUCAGCCAUGACGCGGUGAAUAUGUUCCUGAUCCUUGUACACACCGCCCGUC